UUGCAGCACCCUGGGUGUAUGAGGCUGAAAAAGGAGAGGAGCAGGGACAGCGCUGGUGGUAGGAGGCUGUAAGCAGGGAGCAGGUACAUGGGGAAGAUGGAUGCUGUACUGAAGCACCGGGAGAGCAGCUCCCGCAGCCCCAGGAAGC